GCCAGACUCCUACGGGAGGCAGCAGUGAGGAAUAUUGGUCAAUGGGCGGGAGCCUGAACCAGCCAAGUCGCGUGAAGGAAGAAGGUACUUAGUAUUGUAAACUUCUUUUGUCGGGGAACAAAGGCGGAGACGCGUCUCCGGAUGAGUGUACCCGAAGAAAAAGCAUCGGCUAACUCCGUGCCAGCAGCCGCGGUAAUACGGAGGAUGCGAGCGUUAUCCGGAUUUAUUGGGUUUAAAGGGUGCGCAGGCGGGAGAUCAAGUCAGCGGUAAAAUGUCGGGGCUCAACCCCGGCCGGCCGUUGAAACUGGUUUUCUAGAGUUGGAGAGAAGUAUGCGGAAUUCGUGGUGUAGCGGUGAAAUGCAUAGAUAUCAGGAGGAACACCGGCGGCGAAGGCGGCCUGCUGGACCGCGACUGACGUUGAGGCUCGAAAGCGUGGGGAGCGAACAGGAUUAGAUACCCUGGUA
rnacentral:rRNA from 1 species